AGAUUGUUGUUGUUGUUUUUUUUAAUUUUCUUUUCUUAUUUUACCUUUUUCAGACAUCUUCUGUAACCAGAAGCACUCCAAGAACAACACUUUCAUUCAUGGACUUAACAACUACAUUAGAUCAUACCAGCCUGUCACUUCAAAGUCACCAGUGUCAAGUGCAAGACAAGCAAUUGAAAGAAGUGGAUGUGUUAUUGCGGGCACAAUGGAGCCACUGAACUGCAGUGCAAAAAUGCAGUAAGGGAUACAGAUAGAAGAAGGAGAAUGUCAGGAAAAGACAGCAGAGGUUCCAUAGCUAAGAAUGUCAUGAGCACCAGGCUCUUCAUAGGCUACUGAAAUGAGGAAAGCUCUGACCCUCCACUCAAGAAGUUGCUACGCUGGUAAGUGAGCUAACAACUAUCCAAUGAUGGCAUAUAAUGCUCACUCUUUCACAAAAUCUGCUCUCCUUUGUUUUGUUUUCCCAGAAGAAGCUGCAUUUCCAGUCUCCUUUGUAGGUAUAGAUAGCUUCAGUUCUGGCCAAUGAGGCAUAUUCCAGAACUCUUCCCUAAAAUUCCUCUUUAGUUGAUUUCUGCUUCUGGUAUAAAACCAGCCUACUUAGCACAAAUAACUAGAAACUUAGGCAAAAUAUAUAAAACAAAUCUUUCAGACAUUGAGAGAACAGGCAGAGUGGGACUGUGAUCACUGAGAAAAGGAAAACAGAGGUGAAGCCUACUAUUGCCCUUGCUUUCUGCCUAUAGACAAUUUCUGGAAGAUGGCAAAGGGAGGAAGAUCCCAAGAAAUGCAAAAGAAAUGUUGCUAAGCUGAAAAGACAAAUAUUGAAUUUGUGGGAGGAUGAGACAGCCAGAAUUUGCAGGGCAAAUUAUUGGAGAGUAACAAUUUCUGUAGAGAAAUAUGCAUAAAGGCCCCAUUAACUAUGCAUGGAUACAACAAAACUCCACAAAGCUGCACAAAUAGUAACUGCUCAGGAAAAAUACUACGGGAACUGUAACCUGCACAACUCCUAGAGUUUAAGCAAGGUUAAGAGAUACUCAAAUCCCUUCCAGCCAGAGCUGAGAAACCCCACUGAGCCUCAAGGAAGUCGGUAAAGAACCUAGAGAAUCAUGUGUUGGUAGUUUCGCUUAAUUAGCCCUAGAGUUAGGGCUACUUUGGACAACCCUAACAAAGCUUAAAAAUAAGUUUUGAAUACAUUAAUAUGAUUUGCAAGUAACUUAA
rnacentral:lncRNA from 1 species